rnacentral:rRNA from 1 species
GACGAACGCUGGCGGCGUGCCUAAUACAUGCAAGUCGAGCGGGGUAGAGAGAGCUUGCUCUCAAAGCCUAGCGGCGGACGGGUGAGUAACACGUAGGCAACCUGCCUGUAAGCCUGGGAUAACUCCGGGAAACCGGAGCUAAUACCAGAUAAGCUGUAAGACCGCAUGGUCUUACACUAAAAGGAUGCGAUCCACUUACAGAUGGGCCUGCGGCGCAUUAGCUUGUUGGUGAGGUAACGGCUCACCAAGGCAACGAUGCGUAGCCGACCUGAGAGGGUGACCGGCCACACUGGGACUGAGACACGGCCCAGACUCCUACGGGAGGCAGCAGUAGGGAAUCUUCCGCAAUGGACGAAAGUCUGACGGAGCAACGCCGCGUGAGUGAUGAGGGUUUUCGGAUUGUAAAACUCUGUUGUCAGGGAAGAACACCCUAGAUUGGAUCUAGGACUGACGGUACCUGACGAGAAAGCCCCGGCUAACUACGUGCCAGCAGCCGCGGUAAUACGUAGGGGGCAAGCGUUGUCCGGAAUUAUUGGGCGUAAAGCGCGCGCAGGCGGUCCUUUAAGUCUGAUGUGAAAGUCCACGGCUCAACCGUGGGAUUGCAUUGGAAACUGGGGGACUUGAGUGCAGAAGAGGAGAGUGGAAUUCCUGGUGUAGCGGUGAAAUGCGUAGAGAUCAGGAGGAACACCAAUGGCGAAGGCAGCUCUCUGGUCUGUAACUGACGCUGAGGCGCGAAAGCGUGGGUAGCAAACAGGAUUAGAUACCCUGGUAGUCCACGCCGUAAACGAUGAGUGCUAGGUGUUAGGGGGUCCAACCCUUAGUGCCGAAGUUAACACAUUAAGCACUCCGCCUGGGGAGUACGGUCGCAAGACUG